rfam:Rattus norvegicus chromosome 12, whole genome shotgun sequence.
GGGGAUUUAGCUCAGUGGUAGAGCACUUGCCUAGCAAGCGCAAGGCCCUGGGUUCGAUCCCCAGCUCCG